AACGUAGGAGGCGAGCGUUAUCCGGAUUUACUGGGCGUAAAGCGCGUGUAGGCGGUUUCAUAAGUCGUGCGUGAAAGCUCCCUGGCUCAACCGGGAGAGGUCGUGCGAUACUGCGAAACUUGAGUCAGACAGAGGCAAGUAGAAUUCCGGGUGUAGUGGUGAAAUGCGUAGAUAUCCGGAGGAAUACCAGUGGCGAAGGCGACUUGCUGGGUCUGUACUGACGCUCAGACGCGAAAGCAUGGGGAGCGAA
rnacentral:rRNA from 1 species